UACGUAGGGUGCAAGCGUUGUCCGGAAUUAUUGGGCGUAAAGAGCUCGUAGGCGGUUUGUCACGUCGGAUGUGAAAUCCCGGGGCUUAACCUCGGGUCUGCAUUCGAUACGGGCUGACUAGAGUUCGGUAGGGGAGACUGGAAUUCCUGGUGUAGCGGUGAAAUGCGCAGAUAUCAGGAGGAACACCGGUGGCGAAGGCGGAUCUCUGGGCCAUUACUGACGCUGAGGAGCGAAAGCGUGGGGAGCGAACAGG
rnacentral:rRNA from 1 species